rnacentral:rRNA from 1 species
ACGGAAGGCAGCAGUAGGGAAUCUUCGGCAAUGGGGGCAACCCUGACCGAGCAACGCCGCGUGAGUGAAGAAGGUUUUCGGAUCGUAAAGCUCUGUUGUAAGUGAAGCACGUGUGUGCGAGUGGAAAGUUCACACAGUGACGGUAACUUACCAGAAAGGGACGGCUAACUACGUGCCAGCAGCCGCGGUAAUACGUAGGUCCCGAGCGUUGUCCGGAUUUAUUGGGUGUAAAGCGAGCGCAGGCGGUUUAAUAAGCCUGGAGUUAAAGGGAGUGGCUUAACCAUUGUUCGCUUUGGAUACUGGUAGACUUGAGUGCAGAAGGGGAGGGUGGAAUUCGAUGUGUAGCGGUGAAAUGCGUAGAUAUAUGGAGGAACACCGGUUGCGAAAGCGGCUCUCUGGUCUGUAACUGACGCUGAGGCACGAAAGCGUGGGGAGCAAACAGGAUUAGAUACCCUGGUA